AUUGAACGCUGGCGGCAUGCCUUACACAUGCAAGUCGAACGGUAACAGGUCUUCGGAUGCUGACGAGUGGCGAACGGGUGAGUAAUACAUCGGAACGUGCCCAGUCGUGGGGGAUAACGAAGCGAAAGCUUUGCUAAUACCGCAUACGAUCUACGGAUGAAAGCGGGGGAUCGCAAGACCUCGCGCGAUUGGAGCGGCCGAUGGCAGAUUAGGUAGUUGGUGGGGUAAAGGCUUACCAAGCCUACGAUCUGUAGCUGGUCUGAGAGGACGACCAGCCACACUGGGACUGAGACACGGCCCAGACUCCUACGGGAGGCAGCAGUGGGGAAUUUUGGACAAUGGGCGCAAGCCUGAUCCAGCAAUGCCGCGUGCAGGAUGAAGGCCUUCGGGUUGUAAACUGCUUUUGUACGGAACGAAAAGCUCUGGGUUAAUACCCUGGGGUCAUGACGGUACCGUAAGAAUAAGCACCGGCUAACUACGUGCCAGCAGCCGCCGUAAGAC
rnacentral:rRNA from 1 species